UAUGCAACAAUAGAAAUGACACUGUCAAUCUGCAAUGGAUUCAACAAGCAAACGCUGGAAAUAGCGGAAGGCAACCUCAUAUAGCACACAUAGACAGACAAGAAAUCAUUUGCGGAAUUGAAAUUCGACAGGCAAUUAUGACACAUUUUAUCCACGCCGACGAAGUUGAUGGUGCUUCUUCAGGUCCACUUUCAUUUGACAAUGAAGAUGCCGCCAUCGAUGCGUCUAAUGGAUCCGUAACUGUGGAAUAAAAGAUGUAUAAUACAUACAUUGAAAUUGUAAUAUUAAAAUAAAAUAAUUGCUAUUUCAAACAAA